rnacentral:rRNA from 1 species
UACGGAGGGUGCAAGCGUUAUCCGGAUUCACUGGGUUUAACGGGUGCGUAGGCGGCGCGGUAAGUCGGGUGUGAAAUCUUGGAGCUUAACUCCGAAACUGCAUUCGAUACUGCCGUGCUUGAGGACUGGAGAGGAGACUGGAAUUUACGGUGUAGCGGUGAAAUGCGUAGAUAUCGUAAGGAAGACCAGUGGCGAAGGCGGGUCUCUGGACAGCUCCUGACGCUGAGGCACGAAGGGCAGGGGAGCAAACGGG